rnacentral:lncRNA from 1 species
GACGUUUGGCUAGGAUUGUAUUUUUUUGCCCAAUGAAGGCCCCGCUAAGAUAUUGUUUCUAACUAUGAUUAAUUUUCAAUCAUCUUCUUUCCAUUCUUUCAUUAGCGCCGAUAAUCUUACCGACGAACAAAAAGUCGCCAACAGCCUGGUUAUGGUGAUGUAUGUUUUAUUUGCUGUGGUAUUCUACAUGCUAACACAACGUCGUAGCCGUUCUGACGACAGCUUUGAAAGACUUGAUUGAAACGAACUGCACUUGCAUUGAGGAUUUGUAGAUACACCCUGAUUUUGGCCUAGAUAAUAAUUAAAUUAACAAUUGGAGACACAGCGUACGUAUGAUUGUACAUGAAUUGAUAAUUAAUAAAACUAUCAUUCCGGUGCA